rnacentral:rRNA from 1 species
UACAGAGGGUGCAAGCGUUGCUCGGAAUUAUUGGGCGUAAAGAGCUCGUAGGCGGUUUGUCGCGUCGGGAGUGAAAACUCAGGGCUUAACCCUGAGCCUGCUCCCGAUACGGGCAGACUAGAGGUAUGCAGGGGAGAACGGAAUUCCUGGUGUAGCGGUGAAAUGCGCAGAUAUCAGGAGGAACACCGGUGGCGAAGGCGGUUCUCUGGGCAUUACCUGACGCUGAGGAGCGAAAGUGUGGGGAGCGAACAGG